rnacentral:rRNA from 1 species
UACGGGGGGGGCAAGCGUUGUUCGGAAUUACUGGGCGUAAAGGGCUCGUAGGCGGCCAACUAAGUCAGACGUGAAAUCCCUCGGCUUAACCGGGGAACUGCAUCUGAUACUGGAUGGCUGGAGAUUGGGAGAGGGAUGCGGAAUUCCAGGUGUAGCGGUGAAAUGCGUAGAUAUCUGGAGGAACACCGGUGGCGAAGGCGGCAUCCUGGACCAACACUGACGCUGAUGAGCGAAAGCGUGGGGAGCAAACAGG